UUAGGAAUUUUGGGCAAUGGGCGCAAGCCUGACCCAGCAACGCCGCGUGGGUGACGAAGGCCUUCGGGUUGUAAGGCCCUUUUCUGGGGGAAGAUGAUGACGGUACCCCAGGAAGAAGCACCGGCUAACUACGUGCCAGCAGCCGCGGUAAUACGUAGGGUGCGAGCGUUGCCCGGAUUUAUUGGGCGUAAAGAGCGCGCAGGCGGCUCGAUGCGUCUCGUGUGAAAUCCCCCGGCUCAACUGGGGGCAGCCACGGGAUACGGUCGAGCUCGAGCGAGGGAGAGGGUCGUGGAAUUCCCGGAGUAGCGGUGGAAUGCGUAGAGCCCGGGAGGAACACCAGUGGCGAAGGCGAUGACCUGGACCUCUGCUGACGCUGAGGCGCGAAAGCGUGGGGAGCGAUCC
rnacentral:rRNA from 1 species